rnacentral:sRNA from 1 species
AGGGAUACAUUAUGAAAUAGGAAAGCCUUUACCUUAGUAAUAUUCUUGUUCCCUCUCCAAAGAUUGUGUGUGUGGUUUUGGUGUAGUUGGUAUAGUUGGGCUUUUCUUCAACAGCAUGUACAUGCUGUGCUUACUGUCAGUUUAAAGGCAGUUUGUAAUAUAAAAAGAGAUAACUUAAGCGUCACAUGUUAGAAUGCUCACAGACUUCCCACAUCCUUCAAAACAGGCUAAAGUGUUAUGUUUCUGAAAGCCAGAUGUGGAUUGGUUCAGUUAUACCUAUUAAGUGCUUAAAACUUAAAUGUAAAUUAUGUAUAUGCUUUUUUGUAAGGGAGUGUUUAGACAUUUCUGAUGAUUUGUCUUCUAUUUGUCUAACUUUCUUAAUUUGGAUUUCAGAUUAACGUCUUCAAGGACCCAGUUGCUGAUCCCAACAAAAGGUCCAAAAAGGGCCGAUUAUCUUUACAUAGGACGCCAGCAGGGAAUUUUGUUACACUGGAGGAAGGAAAAGGAGACCUUGAGGAAUAUGGUCAUGAUCUUCUCCAUACUGUCUUCAAGAAUGGCAAGGUGACAAAAAGCUAUUCAUUUGAUGAAAUAAGAAAA